rnacentral:lncRNA from 1 species
AAAUUGGCAGUCGAUCUCUAAAGGCCAUCGGAAUGAACUGUAAAUUGCUCACAGGACUGUGCCGGAACAUACAUCCAUCCUACUCUGCAGGCAUCCUUAUGAAUGAUGAGGCUGAUGCCAUUGCCACCACAAUGCCUAGACUGAAGCACCUUGAGAUAGCAUACCAUAUCAUCAACACACAAGGGGCUCUUCAAAUACUUGAGAGUUGCCCCGAGCUUGAAUUCAUGGACUUGAGAGGGUGUUGGGAUGUUAAGCUUGAUGACAAGUUCUUUGGGGAGAAGUUCCCAAAAUUGAAUGUUUUAGGGCCUUCUGUGGACGACUGCUAUGAUGAGGACCUGGAAGGUUGCCUGUGUAACUCGGAUGCUUCUGAUGAAUGUUCCCCCUUCGAAUAUGAAGACCUCUCUGAGGAACAUCUCUCAGACGAAUAUCUGUCUGACAGAUAACUGAUCUGAUCAAAUUCUUGUUGAGCUGCAAGUCUUCGUAGAACUUGGUGGUUGGCCCCUUGUUCAUUCACCAACGCCCUGUACAUUUAGCCUUUUGUUAACAUUUGCACCACCCUUUUCUUCUCUUAUUUAGUCCCUAUAAAUCUUUGCCGUUGAUAUCUAUGAUCAAGUAUCGUUGUGUAUGGCUGUAUGCUAAGAAGUUCUGCAGAUUUCUCCAGUUCCUGGCCGUUAUAGGGAUCCCUACAGUCUCAAAACACUCAUUUUCCAGAGCAGCACACUUCAUGACUUAAUGUAAAAUUGAGGUGGAGAAUGACAUUACAUGGUCCUAAACUUGGUUGCUAGAAGACCAAAUUAAACUUACAUGCUGAGAUCUAAAUCUCUAAGAUGAAUAGGAAUGUGUCGCAUUAUUAUAGAAGAAAUCACACGCAGUCUAUAGUCUACAUUAACAGGAAUGUGAGUUGCAUUAUUAUUUUACGGCCUCUGAUGAAUUUGUCUUGGAAUGGGAAUUGGGGAUCCUAUUAUUCCCCACGCGCAAGUUACGCCAAAAAGAACAGGGAAUAAAAAGGUACACUUACCCCCACCUAGAGCUUUUGGUCUUUUCACUUGGGAAACCAUAGUAGACUGUAGUAGUAUUAUUCAUUUCUUGUACGUGGAAAAAGUAGCUGUGGGCUCUGCUUCUGUUUCAGAAUUUUGCAGACGAGUCUCUUUCAAACUGGUGCACACUUAGUCCACAAGCAAGUCUCACAACCUUUUCGUAGAUUUUCACACCUUUCACUGCAACCAACCACCACCUUUUUUUUUAUUUUUACCCUCUGUUCCAGCUCCAGUGUGGGUUAACAGCAUGGGUAAACUAGUUAAUUAUUAUUUGCCAAUGGAAAGUCAAAAAGCAAAACGUAAUUUUUAACGCUUAAAAUUGUCAUUUUCUGAAAUUAAGAAUCAAGAAAUCAAGAAUUAUGGAAUUCUUUUUCUUUUCCGACCCAAGAAAUUUGAACUUUUAAAGUUGCACAUAUGUGUAAAAAUCGGUUCAUCGUCCAUAUGUUUUAGAUAAAAAAGAAUAAAAACAAUAUGAGUUAGGGGUGAAAAAUUUUGUGUGUUAUGUGUGUAUGUACAUAUUUUUUCAAUCAUGUAACUAUAAUAACUCAAAACGGUCGAUUUUAAUGGUUGUCAACUAGUUUGAUGUAAACCGACAAGCGUAUAAUUUUGAAACUUGACUUUCUAAGUCACAGCUUAAAAGAAAUGAAUAAUGUCAUGAGUGAUGCCAACUAUUAAUGCACAUGCGAUCGACAAUAUAAUUCAUGUGCAUAGACAAUUAAUAAGCCUACAAUCUUUAAAUCGUUAGUUAUAUAAACGGCAAUAAGUCAUGGUUUAUAGCAAUGAACAUUUAUGGAUCAUAUGUGAAUAAUGUCUACUUGUUUUAUAUUGAUGUGUAUAAGAUCUACAUACAUGUAGGAUUUUAACAAAAGUGUACUUUAUCUAAUUAUGUACGUUACCAAUGACUGAAUGUGGCCAAUUUAGAUAGUUGAUAGCUUACUGGUAACGAUAAAUAUAAAUUCUUGAAACUCAAUAUUAUAAGCUACAAUUUUAAAUAAAUGGAUAAUGCAUGAGUAAUUUGUCAUCUGUUUGUGCACGUAAGAUCAAAUAAUACGAUCCACGUGCAAAGACGAUCACUUCUCAAACUUUAAUUUCAUUACUUACGUACAUAACAACAAUAUCUCAUCAUGCACGCACACACGUAAUAAUUGUCAAGUAUUGAUGUGUGAGACUUACGUAUUAUUGUUUAUUGUAUUUUUCUCAAUUUUCCUGUCUAAUAAAUAUCAUUAAGGUGUUUCUCAAAAAAAAAAAAUUUGUCAGUAAGGUGUUCUCAUUCUUGAAAGGGUUAUGAUGUUCUCUUGACUCUCCUUUGAUCACCUAACUGCACUUAUAAGGGUUAUGUUUUUUCUUGACUCUCCUUUGAUCACCUAACUGCAAUACUAGCAAAUAUAAUUAGUUCCAAAUAAUGAUAUGGUUGUAGCUAAUCUCAUCUCCUUUUUCCUAGUUCUACCACAUCUCAUUCUUCUCUUAUAGCUUAGUCUAGAGGGUGGUUCAUCACUCUAACCCAAAAUGAAGUAUUGUUACACCAAACAAGUGAAUGAUUAGGCACCCAAGAAUUCAGCCUAAUAAAACUCAUGGCAGUAUUUCCAAUUUUCCAUUUCCACAAGAAUUGUCAUCAACAAACUUGGAAUUCCCAAAAACUGUCAAGUGUAUGAAGCAAGGCAUUGCAACAAGACACUGGCAAGCAAUUAAUCUCUCCCUUGUAAAUGUUGCCUUCUUCAUUCUUCACCUGAGCUUUCCUGCCUCAAUUGCCAACCUGAAUUUACUACACAUCCAUCCAGAUUUACUUUUCCACGCAUGUAUAUAGCAUUGGAAGUUUAACCAUGGUCAAAAAUCUAACCAGACACUUUUCAAAAGCUUCAACUAUUUCAACUAUCUAGUCCUCUCUGAUUUCAGAUUGGGCAACUUGGUACUAACUCUUUCUCUUACAAGUCUUCAGAGCCAGACUCGUGUCGGUGAUUCCCUUUCCCACAAAACCCAGAUUGGAAAUUGUAAAGAUUACUCUCAAGUCUCUAUCCAUUAUUUUUGUAACCAAAAAAAAAAGAAGUCUCUAUCCAUUAUUUACUACCCCAAUAACUCACAAUCUCACAUCAUCCUAUCUUUCUGCAGAACAAAAAUAAAAGUUACAUUAUUUGAUGACAGAGUGCAAAUAAUUUCACCAAUCACUACCAAUGCCAUUAAAACUGUCAUUAUUAAACCACCCGUUUUUGACAGUUUUUUUUCUUCUUGGUUCUUCCAGUGGGGUUUGUGAGAGCUUCACUCGUUUCAAUUUAAAACCCUCAUUACCUCCUUGCCUUUCUCAUACCGUCAUACGUAUCUGGUUUUGCCUCAUUUCACUCUUUGGUUUUGUUUUUACCUUUGUUGUUGUGUUGCAGAUGGGUCUCGUUUUGUAGCCUUUCCUUUCUUUUCUUUUCCUUCGUUCCCUUUCUUUCUCUCUCUUUUUCUUUCUCCCCCUGCUUCUGUCUCUGCGGAUAACCCGCUGAGUGUUUUACACGAUCCCAAAUCCUGAAAUCUAGAACAACCCACUUCUUAAGGGAGUAAGUUGUUUAUGUUUUAUAAUGUGUUCUCUGUUUGAUUUUUUCUGAAUAUAGAAGUAACUAUAUAGCAGAGCUAAAGAUGAAAGCUGCAAUCUUUUUUUAGACUCUGUUAAGUUUGGUUGUAAAUCAGACAAGCUCACCAGUUCAGUGGCUGACUUUUUGCUUGUUUGUUUUGUUUUCUUGACUAUAAAUGAGCAAUUCUGAGCUUAAAUUUUCUGUCUUUACCUCAUUUCAGCUAGCAACUGGAGCUUUUGGCCUUUCAGCUAGAUCUGUGGAGAGUUGUUCAUGCACUCAAUGAACCCUUUGAACAGAAGACAGUGAUAUUUGGUUUAUGACUGGUUGGUCUCAUUUUGUUUAAGCUCUCAUUUGGACUGAAAUCUAUCUCUGAUUAUUAUUAUCAUUAUUUUUGUUUUUUAAAUGAUGUUGGUGUUGUUCAUUUCUGGGUUUUGUUGGAUCUGCUACAAGAUUUUUGUCUUAAUUUGAUGUCUUAAAUGUUUGAUUUCUUGGUUUUUCUUCUUUUAAUUCUCCCCUCGAUUCUCUUUAUUUUCUUUCGUUAGAAUCGAAGAUAGUUCUUCUUCUUCAUCCGUUUUUGUUUAGUUUAUGUGGUCGGUGCUGGUAUGUGUUUUGUAUUUGUGCCUUUUCUGUCUUAUAUUCUUAUUUUACUCUUUAAGUUUACAAUUCUUGUUCUUGUUCUUAAUUUUCUUGUUUUUCUAGUUUACCGAAGGACAUUUUGUUUUUCCUUCAGCAGUUGUUGAUUACUGGAAAAUUAUCAUGGAUUUGUUUCUGCUCAUGCUGAAUAUAUUUGUUGUGAUGAAUUUCAAGAACUUUUUACAUGAGAUUUGCGUAGAAACAUUGUGACUUCUCUAUUCUUAGUGGUUCUACUAAGGUGAGAAAAUUGAUUAGUCUUUACUGGUUUCUCAUUUUCUGAAGGUAAAAUAGAUGGAGGUGGCAAGUGUGGCAAGUGAUUUUAGGCAAUGGGACGAAUUAAUACCCGAUGCAUUGGGUCUAAUCUUCAAAAACCUGUCUCUUAAGGAGAUGCUGACAGUGAUUCCAAUGGUGUGCAAAUCAUGGGGUAAGGCAGUAUUGGGGCCUUACUGCUGGCAAGAGAUAGACAUUGAGGAAUGGAGUGAGAGAUGCCCGGAACCUCAGCACCUCGAUCGUAUGAUACAAAUGCUGAUUUCAAGAAGCUGUGGAUCUCUCAGAAAGCUUUGUGUUUCAGGCCUCAAAAAUGACAUGAUCUUCUCCUUCAUUGCUGAACAGUAAGAAAUGAUAUCAAAUUUGUCAAUGUUAUACAUUUCAUUUUCUCAAAAAUAUAUAUUUGUGCAAACCACUUAUCCGCUAUAUGCGUUAGUCUGCAUUAUUUGAUGUACCACCUAAAGUUAUAUUCCCUUGGAAAAUUUACUGAUUUAGAGACUAUUUUGUACAACGUAGACUGUUUGUGAUCCAUCAUCAUGCUCUUUUCGUUCUGAUCAAUCAAGAGUUUAUAUUUCCCUGAUGUGAGCCCUGUUUGCUUGGUUUUGCAAGUUCUAAUUCCCUUCAGACCUUGAGUCUGCCAAGAAGUGAAAUAAGUGAUUCGAUAGUGGAACAAACGAUUGGAAGGCUUUCUCACAUCACUUUCUUGGAUCUUAGCUACUGUGGGAAGAUCAGUUUUCGUGCUUUGGAAGUCAUUGGAAAGAACUGUAAAUUGCUUGUGAAGUUGUUUCGGAACAUGCAUCCGGUUGAUACAGUUGGCAUGCCUAUUGCGGAUGAUGAGGCCAAUGCCAUUGCGGCGACAAUGCCUAGAUUGAAGCACCUCGAGCUGGCAUACCAUGUCAUUAGCACGCAGAGUGCACUUCAGAUACUCAAGAGCUGCCCCGAGCUUGAGUUGUUGGAUUUGAGAGGAUGUUGGGGUGUUAAGAUUGAUGAUGAAAAGUACUUAGAGAAGAAGUUUCCGAAAGUGAAG